UUGCCUUAGUAACGGCGAGUGAAGCGGCAAUAGCUCAAAUUUGAAAGCUGGCCCCUUCGGGGUCCGCGUUGUAAUUUGUAGAGGAUGAUUCGGCGAGGGCUCCCGUCUAAGUCCCUUGGAACAGGGCGUCAUAGAGGGUGAGAAUCCCGUAUGUGAUGGGCUGCCUUAGCCAUGUGAAUCUCCUUCGACGAGUCGAGUUGUUUGGGAAUGCAGCUCUAAAUGGGAGGUAAAUUUCUUCUAAAGCUAAAUACCGGCCAGAGACCGAUAGCGCACAAGUAGAGUGAUCGAAAGAUGAAAAGCACUUUGGAAAGAGAGUUAAAAAGUACGUGAAAUUGUUGAAAGGGAAGCGCUUGCAGCCAGACUUGUCCGCAGUUGCUCAGCUUGUCUCCUGACAGGCGUACUCUUCUGCGGCCAGGCCAGCAUCAGUUCGGGCGGUCGGAUAAAGACCUGGGGAAUGUAGCUCCUCUCGGGGAGUGUUAUAGCCCUGGGUGCAAUGCGGCCAGCCUGGACUGAGGAUCUCGCUUCGGCUAGGAUGCUGGCGUAAUGGCUGUAANCGGCCCG
rnacentral:rRNA from 1 species